UACGUAGGGUGCAAGCGUUGUCCGGAAUUAUUGGGCGUAAAGAGCUCGUAGGCGGUCUGUCGCGUCGGCUGUGAAAUCCCGAGGCUCAACCUCGGGUCUGCAGUCGAUACGGGCAAACUAGAGUAUUGCAGGGGAGACUGGAAUUCCUGGUGUAGCGGUGAAAUGCGCAGAUAUCAGGAGGAACACCGAUGGCGAAGGCAGUUCUCUGGGCCGUAACUGACGCUGAGGAGCGAAAGCGUGGGGAGCAAACAGG
rnacentral:rRNA from 1 species